rnacentral:tRNA from 1 species
AGCGGCUAAAUGCUCGGCUGCUAACCGAGAUGUCGGUGGUUCAAACCCACCAACCACUU